AUUGAACGCUGGCGGCAGGCCUAACACAUGCAAGUCGAACGAGUGGCGGACGGGUGAGUAAUGUCUGGGAAACUGCCUGAUGGAGGGGGAUAACUACUGGAAACGGUAGCUAAUACCGCAUACCAUCAGAUGUGCCCAGAUGGGAUUAGCUAGUCGGUGGGGUAACGGCUCACCAAGGCGACGAUCCCUAGCUGGUCCGCGAGGAUGACCAGCCACCCUGGAACUGAGACACGGACCAGAAUCCUACGGGAGGCAGCAGUGGGGAAUAUUGCACAAUGGGCGCAAGCCUGAUGCAGCCAUGCCGCGUGUAUUACGAAGGCCUUCGGGUUGGAAAGUACUGUCAGCGGGGAGGCGUUACCCGCAGAAGAAGCACCGGCUAACUCCGUGCCAGCAGCCGCGGUAAUAC
rnacentral:rRNA from 1 species